UACGUAGGGCGCGAGCGUUGUUCGGAAUUACUGGGCGUAAAGGGCUCGUAGGCGGCCAACUAAGUCAGACGUGAAAUCCCUCGGCUUAACCGGGGAACUGCGUCUGAUACUGGAUGGCUUGAAUCCGGGAGAGGGAUGCGGAAUUCCAGGUGUAGCGGUGAAAUGCGUAGAUAUCUGGAGGAACACCGGUGGCGAAGGCGGCAUCCUGGACCGGCAUUGACGCUGAGGAGCGAAAGCCAGGGGAGCAAACGGG
rnacentral:rRNA from 1 species